rnacentral:rRNA from 1 species
CUGGCGGCAGGCUUUAGACUGCAAGUCGAGCGGAAACGAUACCUUCGGGUAGGCGUCGAGCGGCGGACGGGUGAGUAACGCGUAGGAAUCUACCCAGUAGCGGGGGAUAGCCCGGGGAAACUCGGAUUAAUACCGCAUACGCCCUACGGGGGAAAGAUGGCCUCUUCUUGAAAGCUAUCGCUAUUGGAGGAGCCUGCGUUGGAUUAGCUAGUUGGUGGGGUAAAGGCCUACCAAGGCGACGAUCCAUAGCUGGUCUGAGAGGACGAUCAGCCACACUGGGACUGAGACACGGCCCAGACUCCUACGGGAGGCAGCAGUCGGGAAUAUUGGACAAUGGGCGCAAGCCUGAUCCAGCCAUGCCGCGUGUGUGAAGAAGGCCUUAGGGUUGUAAAGCACUUUCAGGAGUGAAGAAAGGCGUUGGGUGAAUAAUCCGACGUUUUGACGUUAGCUCCAGAAGAAGCACCGGCUAA